GUUUACCAAAAACAUGGCUUCUUGUAUCUUAAUAAAAUAGGGAGUCGGACCUGCCCAGUGAAGUUUUUCAACGGCCGCGGUACUCUGACCGUGCAAAGGUAGCAUAAUCAUUUGCCUUAUAAUUGGAGGCUAGUAUGAAUGGUUUGACAAGAAUAUAACUGUCUCUUUUCGAUUUAUUAGAAUUUUAUUUUAAGGUGAAGAAGCCUUAAUUCAAUUAAAAGACAAGAAGACCCUGUCGAGCUUUAAAAAAAUUAGUAGGAAUAAAUUUCAAUUAAAUUAAAAAACUAUCUGUUAAACAUUUUAGUUGGGGCGACUGAGGAACAAAGAAAGCUUCCUUUAAAUAAUAAUAAAAUAUAUAAGUUUUGAUCCAAAAACUUUUGAUUAAAAAAAUUAGUUACCGCAGGGAUAACAGCAUUAUCUUUUUUGAGAGCUCUUAUCGAAAAAAAGGUUUGUGACCUCGAUGUUGGACCAGAAUAUCCUAAAGAUGCAGAAGUCUUUAAGGGUUGGUCUGUUCGACCAUUAAAAUUCUACGUGAUCUGAGUUCAGACCGG
rnacentral:rRNA from 1 species